CCGAGUUUACAACUCCCAAACCCCUGUGAACAUACCUAUAUGUUGCCUCGGCGGAUCAGCCCGCGCCCCGUAAAACGGGACGGCCCGCCGCAGGAUCCACAAACUCUGUUUUAUUGUAACUUCUGAGUAACAAAACAAAUAAAUCG
rnacentral:misc_RNA from 1 species